GGAGAGAUGCCGGAGCGGCUGAACGGGGCGGUCUCGAAAACCGUUGUAUCUUUCAGGGUACCCAGGGUUCGAAUCCCUGUCUCUCCG
rnacentral:tRNA from 1 species